AUUGAACGCUGGCGGCAGGCCUAACACAUGCAAGUCGAACGGUAACAGGAAGAAGCUUGCUUCUUUGCUGACGAGUGGCGGACGGGUGAGUAAUGUCUGGGAAACUGCCUGAUGGAGGGGGAUAACUACUGGAAACGGUAGCUAAUACCGCAUAACGUCGCAAGACCAAAGAGGGGGACCUUCGGGCCUCUUGCCAUCGGAUGUGCCCAGAUGGGAUUAGCUAGUAGGUGGGGUAACGGCUCACCUAGGCGACGAUCCCUAGCUGGUCUGAGAGGAUGACCAGCCACACUGGAACUGAGACACGGUCCAGAUUCCUACGGGAGGCAGCAGUGGGGAAUAUUGCACAAUGGGCGCAAGCCUGAUGCAGCCAUGCCGCGUGUAUGAAGAAGGCCUUCGGGUUGUAAAGUACUUUCAGCGGGGAGGAAGGGAGUAAAGUUAAUACCUUUGCUCAUUGACGUUACCCGCAGAAGAAGCACCGGCUAACUCCGUG
rnacentral:rRNA from 1 species